AUUGAACGCUGGCGGCAUGCCUUACACAUGCAAGUCGAACGGCAGCGCGGACUUCGGUCUGGCGGCGAGUGGCGAACGGGUGAGUAAUACAUCGGAACGUACCCUGUUGUGGGGGAUAACUAGUCGAAAGAUUAGCUAAUACCGCAUACGACCUGAGGGUGAAAGUGGGGGACCGCAAGGCCUCACGCAGCAGGAGCGGCCGAUGUCUGAUUAGCUAGUUGGUGGGGUAAAGGCCCACCACGGGGACGAUCAGUAGCUGGUCUGAGAGGACGAUCAGCCACACUGGGACUGGGACACGGCCCAGACUCCUACGGGAGGCAGCAGUGGGGAAUUUUGGACAAUGGGGGCAACCCUGAUCCAGCAAUGCCGCGUGUGUGAAGAAGGCCUUCGGGUUGUAAAGCACUUUUGUCCGGAAAGAAAUCGCGCUGGUUAAUACCUGGCGUGGAUGACGGUACCGGAAGAAUAAGCACCGGCUAACUACGUGCCAGCCGCCGCCGUAA
rnacentral:rRNA from 1 species